ACUAUAGGUGGCAGAAUGGGCGGGUUAGUUCAGUCGUGCUUAGUUAUGCUGCUUAUUUGCUCUUUUAGCUCCAUCACUAUGGCAUAGAAGUCAGAAAGACACUAAUUGGAAUAACCAAAUAAACAAAUUAGAAACUAAGAUGGUGUUUUAGCAAACUCUAAAAAAAACGUACUUAACUUUAAGCUGGUGCAGUUCUACUUACUUCAAACAAACCAUUAAUCCAUAAUCACUUAAAUGUAUGCAUUAGCAGACACCCUAACUCCCAGGUACCAUAUCAUAUAUCAUCUAUAUAAUAGCAUGUCUAUAAAUAAAUUGGGAGUUUGCACAGCAAAAUAACUGGUAUAGCGGGCAAUUCUUUGUCAUUGUUUUUUAGAAACUUUCUGCCUCUAUCACUAACUAAAUUGGAGUUUGCAUUAUGAUAACAAAUAAAUAAAAUCAUAGAUAUAUAGAGAUACCCUUUCUUUAUAUAGUGGCAGUUGCAACUCCAUGUAGCCCGUCACCAAUUUUUGCAAUGAUUCGCUCUUACGUACAAAAGCCCAAGGUCUAUGGCUAGGUUAGGAUUGACAUGGCCUACUCCAAAGUCUAAAGGUUUAGCCUAGAAUCCUUUUCUUUCGUUUUUUUUUGUCUCGAAUGAGUCUAAUUUAUUGUGUGUUUUUGUCCCGGCUGAUGAAUGGAUGAUGGACUCCAGUUCCGGUGGUUUACUGAGCUUAACUUGAUGACACCGGAAAGAGGGACUAUUGAAAUCAAUAGCACCAAAUCAUGAAGUCUACUAUGAUGCUCAGCCGACCCUUCAUAGCUUAGUAUGUUAAUCAUGAGUAUGUGAUUAUUUUGAUGGAUGUUAACUCCUAGCUCAAAGGGAGAAGUAUUAAAAAUUUUAGAUUUAAGGUUUUUAGAAUAGAUAUGGUUUUUGUUUUUGUGAUGUAUAAUUGUUUGGUACCAUUAUUCAAUACUACAUACUGUGUAUAUGAAUUUGUUUUAGUAAUAUUAUUCGCCGUA